GAAAGAAAGAACGGAGAAGAAAAUGAAGAAAAAGGGGGCGAAGGAGAAGGAGAAGAAAAAGAAAAAGAUAGACUCAUCAUCGAGACAGCGGCUUCUGUCGUCCUGCGUGCGAAUAAAAGGGAAGGGGUUCCGUUAUGAAGAAUCGUCAAUUACCAGGCAGCUUCCUGCAGCCGCCUUUCCGUCUUGUUGCAACGGUUUUUGCGCCGCUCUCCGCUCGUUCCUCUAGGCAUCGGUAAAUUAAUGAAUCAGCGACAGAACCAACCUUGCUACGAGUGCUUCUCCGCCUUCUUCCUACGCUCGAUUUCUUACCGAGACUCGCCCAUGGUCGCGAUUAUCUGCUCCGAUGCAAAUUGAGCUUCCCCGUUUGUCUAUUCCCGCCAGUAUGCAGCUCGCGUACGCUGUUUCUGUGGAAAUAAUUUUCCCACCUCUGAACGGUAGUUUGCCCUUUUCCAAAAACGAGAUUAAGGAUUGGGAAGAGAAGGGAUGACGACAGUAAAAGAUACUACGGAGUAUCGUAGUUGUCGUUAUUAUCGUAUUUAUUAUUGUCCCCUAGCUUCUAGCUAGUUUAUCACGAGAAAGCAGAUACGAGAGCAACGACUGUGUUCUCUGGAUCACCGAUAAGAGAUGUCCUCGUUCCCCAACUUCUCCUUCGUCUCGGUCUUUUUCCAUUACGUUCCACGCUUCGAAUUACAUAUUAGAAUUAUGCAAAUCUUGUUUUCGAAGGGACCUUAUCGAGCCAAAUACUCGCGAUAAUUAACAGAGACUCCCGAAUUCGAGAUUCUAUCUGCCCACACAGCGUGUAACGCUCUACAUUUCCAAAAGGAACUCCAUUAAGCUGCGCCGACUAACAAAAGCCCAAUCCUAUUCUUACACGGAAAACAAUCUUCCAACUCGAUGAUCCAACGAUCCUCGCUCCUGCUUGAGAAUACCAAACGAACAGAAGAAGAGAGAACACGAGGAAAUUCGUGACGUUAUCAGCUCUCAUAAUGCAAACCUACCGCCGUAUACAUCGGCGGAAGAAACACGCCUCGAAGGGAUCACAUCGUCUCCCAUCGUCUCGCUAAUGUUACAGCCAUCCACCGUUCUUUGCUUUCCGACGACGCAAUCAGUGCCUCUUUCCACUUUCUUUCCCCCCCUUUCUUUUUCUUCCUCUUAUUUCUUCUACUCUUUUCUCCCUUCUCUUUUUUUCCUCCUCUCUUCCAUUUAUUUCCACGAGCGAUCGGCGCGUUUACAUUGAUAAAGCGACCAGCCAGGGACGUUUACCCUGGAGGGGUCAGUGUCACGUCGUGGGCCUGCAGAGUUCGUUGACUGAAUAAGCCGAGGCAACCUCGAGGACCGGUUGGUCCACCCUUUCGUCCCACCCUGCCCACUGACAGUGCCGGAGCUUUAUCCCUUGUAGCCCUAAGUGCAUGGGAUCACGUCGACUACUUAAUCCUCGAUCGACUGUUCUUCCUUUUUGUCAGCUCCGUUUCAGAGUUCCACCUUCCUUCUUUCCUUCCUUCCUGCAACCUGGGCCUCGCGUCCGUUCAUCGCCUCGUUUCUUCUUCUUCUUCGAUUUGCGUCGAUAGCCGUAGCCGAACUCCAUACGUACGUUUAUACAUUCUCGCAGAUUAACUGUCUCCCAUAAAUGAAUAGACGAUCGCGGUAUGUUUAAUAUUAUGUAACGACCUUGCAUAAUGCCAUAAGCGGUGAUAUUUUGUACGAUUAAUUAAGGAGCCGGUGUGCGUCAUUCUCGGUAAGAAGGAAAUCGCAAAUAUCUGACAAAGUUUGGAGCAAAGAGUAACUUUGCAAUGUGAAUGAAGGAAUUGUGAAAUGGCACCUAGGUAAUAGUCGCGCCUACGAGGAAGCUUGAUGACGUUUUCGCUGCACCCCGCCACGCAGUAGAAACAUAAUUUACAGUCAGCCCGAGUGUAAAUAAGAGAGUGGAUAUGCGUGCAAAGAGGUUGUCGACGCCAUGGUCGUCGACCAAAGAUUUCCAACUCGUGCGAACGCAGAGGUAACGUUCGAGAGGUAACCUCGUGGCAGAACUCCAACUUCCUAGCAGUUUCGGUUAAGUAAAUAAACUGCCAUUUAUUUUUCUCCCCUUGAUUUCCGCUAUCCGACCAUUUCGAUUCCAGUAGAUACGUCCGUCCAUCUAUUUAACACGCUGUAUUAAUUACAUAAAAUUAGUUAUUUCGUUGGAUAAAAAUUUGGCGCAGAUAAGAAUGGUAAUUUCUUGCGAGAAGAAUUCAAAGUUUUCAUCGUGGCAUCAAAGACCUAUAACCUAGCAAGAAGUAACCGGCUACCUGGCAGUUUCCAAGCUGCGGCAUAGAAUUUUAUCGUACCUGUUAAAAUUCACAAUUCUUGGUGAAAAGUCGUAAAUUCCUAUGGGACCCGUAAUCUCUGGCAUUAUUACGCGCGAUUUACAUUCGUAGUGUUGCUUGCCCGCCUUCCACUGUUUCGAAACGCGGAAAACAUUGAUGCUUCGAGUUAUACACUCGUUAUCAUCCAGCAUACCUGUCAUUGUAGCGAUAUGCUCGUGGUUAUAAAUAGCUGAGAAGAUAGCGCAACGACGCGCGUGGACCUCAGCUGUUUUUCAUCGUCCCGCCAUUUUGAUUGAUUUACGAGAGCCUCUUCUUCAGCAAAAUGGCGACCAUGUAUAACGGAUGAAAAUCAACUUUGACAGGAAGAAAAAACGAUGGAAGUUUGUUUAUCGUCAAACAAGUAAACGCAUCAUAAACAUUUGAUAUAUUUUUCGAAACGUACACCGUACGAAGAAGAUACCAUAACGUUCGCGUUCUUCUGCAUUAUGUAGUCACCGACGAUUGCUCGUACACGUAGUGACCUGGAUAGAGCAGAUCGACGAAAGUGACAAACUAAAACUACGAAAUAUGAUUAAAAAUCGAUUAAGGAGAUGUUUCGCGAGUGUGGGAAGAUACACAUGUGACGAUAAUGGAAGAAGGGCUCAGAGAUUAAAGGGAUUAAGAAAACACUGGAUAACUGAAUCUUUCGGAAAAUCAAAUACAUGAACGAUCAUCGGAAUGUAAUUUAAGAAACGGUGAAGAUAACUUUCUCUGGAAAGAAACACCCUGAGGUAUGUAUAAAAAGAAGGGAGAAAGAAAUGCUGGUAGGAUAAACGUCGGUUGGUGGAUCGGUCAUAGCGUAUGGCAUCCAGCGAUUUGCCGCAUUUCUUCUAUAAAUAGACGCGUUGCGACGCGGAGCCGCGAUAUUGUGCGGUUGAUAUCAACAUCCUGCAGCAAUCGGAGCUUAAAUUUCCAUCAAUACCGUAGAAUUUUGUGAAACGAAAUUUUACGAAAUCGGAUGAUGGUAGCUAAUGGUCGGAAAUUAGUACUUAAUAUAUAUAUAUAUCAUAUGUAUAUUAAGUAAGAUGUGGACGAACGAUUACGCAACGAGAGAUCGUGAACCGAAGAACCGAGCGAUCCUUGACUGAUGUUAGUCAAACAUUAGAUAAGAGAAUCGUUGACAACAUAGCGCAUUAAACAUCGCUACUAUCAUUGCUUUAACCAUAGAUAACAGGCUCUUGAACCGACAAACCGAACUUGACACCCAAAUCGAGUUCCGAAGCUCAGGCCUCGUAUGUUCGAGAAACUGCUUAAACGCAUCUUUCUAUUUUCAGUUACUUAACAUUUACCGUUCUAAUUCACAUCGUCGGAUGCUAAAAAUUCUCAGAAUACUUACAAUUAAAUUAUAUCUUAUAAUGGAAUAUUCAAGUCUUUCAAAUGGGAUUUUCGUUUCGAUAUAAUUGCUAGAAUUCUGAUCUAAAUGCAUCGAAGCGAACGAAGAAUUUCAAUUCCUACUACGUGUAAAGUAGCGAGGCCGAAUGCGGGCUAUGCAAAUGAACCCAACCUUUCGGGCUUAUGUACGGUGUGUACGAGCCAUAAGGACCGGAUCGAUAAGUCGCCACCUCAACGUAAAAGCACUCGAACGAUCGGGUCGCGAUGCCGUAAGUGGCGGGAAUCAUCUGCCGUGCCACGGCACCGUUCCAUAAACCGAAGGAUCUACGAGACACGCUAACCUUCCAUUCCGUUCCUGCAGGCAAACACCUAAAAAAUAUACCUAUCUAUCUUUAUCAAAUUCCUAUUUUUUUUUUCUCUCUCCUUUUCCACGCCAAGAACCACAGAUAAAAAACAGAUAAAGACGAUUCUAUUACGAUACUUGGAUCAUAAUCUCGACACGAUAGAUAAGCAAUUUACAAGAGAAAAAGCAAAUUCGAUAAAUCUGCGCGUUGUUUGACAGUAAAAGAAUACGGAAAUACCAAUUCUGGAUGUAGAGAAUUCCUCGAGUUUAAGUAACUUCAUUCACGUUUAGUAACUUUGUUCAAACAUUAAUUUAGGUCUCUCCUGACUAAAUAACUCGCGUCUGCGAUUUUUUAGACGUUUCAUUUUUCUAGCAAACCAACUAUAACGAACUCGGUUCAGACAAAUCGGUGUUCUACCAUACUUGCUUGAAAGUUUUUAGUUUCGAUAGCGAAAACCAGGGAGAUAUAAUAGGUUGGAAGGCAGUUCAAAUACAGUCGACUUCGAGUUGGAAGAUCCCCGAUCAUCCGUCAUUGGAGGGACUGUUAUCGUGGAUCUCGGGUAACCAGAAUCCGGCAGUGACGAUCGUAUCGGUCCAGGUUCUUUCAGAGACAUUGAUUUUCCAUAAAUACAAAUGCCAUGCUAAUUAGCUGCCAGUUGCACUUGACGAGCUUGAUCCUCGAUCAGAUGAAUUUUUAAAUAAAUUCUAGUUUCAAGAUUCUGUAUUUGUGGCGUGAGCCUCCGUACGAGCCGACAAUGAUGGGCUCCUCUUGGAUAUUUUAUCUCGAGUUAUCGACUAUUUGAAUCUCGAUUUCGAACCGAUUCAAAGUCCCGCAAUGUCAUGAUAAUUCGAAUCGCUCCAAACACGAUUUCAUAUUUAAAACUCUCGAAAGUCGUAAUAAACGCGUUGAAUCGUAAGCGUCGAUAGAUUUUGAUUUUUUUUCAAGUUUCGAUAAAUCUUGAAAACCUUUGAUGAUUCAAAGUUACGAAAGCUUGCUGAUAUUCAACGUUCUAUAUUUUUUUAAUUGUCCUUUGAGAAUAAAAUAAUUCCUGUAAUAAUAUCACGUUACGAGAAACGGAAAGGAAGGACCAAAUAUCGUUCUCGCUUUCUUUGUUUCUCUCAGAAAAGA